rnacentral:rRNA from 1 species
GACGGAGGAUGCAAGCGUUAUCCGGAAUGAUUGGGCGUAAAGCGUCCGCAGGUGGCCGUUCAAGUCUGCUGUCAAAGACCGGGGCUUAACUUCGGAAAGGCAGUGGAAACUGAACAGCUAGAGUAUGGUAGGGGCAGAGGGAAUUCCUGGUGUAGCGGUGAAAUGCGUAGAGAUCAGGAAGAACACCCGUGGCGCAAGCGGCCACCGGGCCAAGAGCUGACGCUGAGGCACGAGAGCGUGGGGAGCGAACCGG